UACGUAGGCGGAAAAUUAAGUCAGUAGUGAAAUCCUGCAGCUUAACUGUAGAACUGUUAUUGAUACUGGUUUUCUUGAAUAUAGUUGAGGUAGGCGGAAUGUGUAAUGUAGCGGUGAAAUGCUUAGAUAUUACACAGAACACCAAUUGCGAAGGCAGCUUACUAAGCUAUGAUUGACGCUGAGGUACGAAAGCGUGGGGAGCGAACAGGAUUAGAUACCCUGGUAGUCC
rnacentral:rRNA from 1 species